UAUAGUGUAAUUGAGUUCAGUCUUAUGCUGAGGUACAGUUGAGAGAAGUGUGAGGUCUGUCUGUGAGGUGAUUCUGAAGGAGGCCUGAGGCCUAGUCCAGCAGCCACACAUCUACUACCAGUUAAUCCCAGUACCCAGGUGAAAGUCAAAGCCUUGUGAAGAAAAUAAAAAAUAAAGUGGUGCACAUCUUGGGAAGCCCGCAGGGCUAAGGUAUAGAGAAGAAGGUAGACAAGUGAACCCUUACUAGAUGAGGCUGUGCUCUGGGCACAACACCACCAAAAGAACAGAUGUUGGAGCUAUGAAUCUGCCACAUGGAGCUAAGAGAUUGGGGCUCAGGGUCAUAGAAAACUAAAGAUAAACAAAAAAAAAUGUUGCUUCUGGAGAUGUUGGUGCAAUGUUCUGCAGACCUCGUUGCUUUGCUCUUUAGCUGUAACCUGACAUUACUAAGUAAAUCUCUGGCUGUAAAACUGCACUUGAGGAAUUUGUUUUUAGUGAGCGCAUUAAACCUGAAGCAUCCAGCACUUCACAUUACUAUAAAGGACUACUCUCCCCACCCUCU